rnacentral:ncRNA from 2 species
CGCAGAUGUAAGCCAACAGGUUCACACAAUUGUGCCAGGGAAGGGGGUGUAAAUCCCCCGCAGCCCCCGCUGCUGUGAUGCUGACGACCCCGUAGAUACCACUGAUCGCGAGAUUGGGAAGGGCGGGUGAGGAUGACGCUAAGCCAGAAGACCUGCCUGUCGGUAACUACCAAC